rnacentral:rRNA from 1 species
CCUACGGGAGGCUGCAGUGAGGAAUAUUGGUCAAUGGGCGAGAGCCUGAACCAGCCAAGUCGCGUGAGGGAGUACUGCCCUAUGGGUUGUAAACCUCUUUUGUCGGGGAGCAAAAGCCGGACGUGUCCGGCUGUGAGAGUACCCGAAGAAAAAGCAUCGGCUAACUCCGUGCCAGCAGCCGCGGUAAUACGGAGGAUGCGAGCGUUAUCCGGAUUUAUUGGGGUUAAAGGGUGCGCAGGCGGAUUUUUAAGUCAGCGGUCAAAUCGUGGGGCUCAACCCCAUCCAGCCGUUGAAACUGGGGAUCUAGAGUGUGCGAGAGGUAUGCGGAAUGCGUGGGGUAGCGGUGAAAUGCAUAGAUAUCACGCAGAACCCCGAUUGCGAAGGCAGCAUACCGGUGCACAACUGACGCUCAGGCACGAAAGCGUGGGUAUCGAACAGGAUUAGAUACCCGUGUAGUC